GCUCGCAUGGCCUAAUGGAUAAAGCGUCCGAUUUUGAAUCAGAAAAUUGCCGGUUCGAGUCCGGUCGUGUGCU